AUACGGAAGGUCCGGGCGUUAUCCGGAUUUAUUGGAUUUAAAGGGAGCGCAGGCGGAGAUGCAAGCGUGACGUCAAAUUUCGGGGCUCAACCCCGUCUCGCGUCGCGAACUGCGUCCCUUGGUUGCGGGAAGGGGAGGCGGAACUCGUGGUGUAGCGGUGAAAUGCAUAGAUAUCACGAAGAACUCCGAUCGCGAAGGCAGCCUUCCGGCCCGUCAACGACGCUCAUGCUCGAAGGUGCGGGUAUCAAACAGGAUUAGAUACCCUGGUAGUCCGCACAGUAAACGAUGGACACCCGCGGUUUGGCCUGUAUGGCUGAGCCGCCAAGCGAAAGCGUUAAGUGUCCCACCUGGGGAGUACGCCGGCAACGGUGAAACUCAAAGGAAUUGACGGG
rnacentral:rRNA from 1 species